rnacentral:rRNA from 1 species
GACGAACGCUGGCGGCGUGCUUAACACAUGCAAGUCGAACGGUGAUGCUCCAGCUUGCUGGAGUGGAUCAGUGGCGAACGGGUGAGUAACACGUGAGCAACCUGCCCCAGACUCUGGAAUAAGCUCUGGAAACGGCGUCUAAUACUGGAUACGAAACUGGCCCGCAUGGGCAUGGUUUGGAAAGUUUUUCGGUUUGGGAUGGGCUCGCGGCCUAUCAGCUUGUUGGUGAGGUAAUGGCUCACCAAGGCGACGACGGGUAGCCGGCCUGAGAGGGCGACCGGCCACACUGGGACUGAGACACGGCCCAGACUCCUACGGGAGGCAGCAGUGGGGAAUAUUGCACAAUGGGCGAAAGCCUGAUGCAGCGACGCCGCGUGAGGGAUGACGGCCUUCGGGUUGUAAACCUCUUUCAGCAGGGAAGAAGCGAAAGUGACGGUACCUGCAGAAGAAGCACCGGCUAACUACGUG